UUACAAACAGGCAUGAUGUGCCAAGCCAAAACACCCCACUCGCUUUAACCUUGCAUGCCAUUGGUGAAGGGCUCGUUCAGAGUUGAUCUGCGUCGGUUCCACAACACAUAACCUACCAGCACACCACGGUGGACUUACCUGAGGGGGUUCAGACUGUACGGCAGUAAGGUAGUUCUCCAGGGCCAGGCGACGGUUGUUGUUAAGUAUGGCUUCCACUCUGGCAAGAUGAGUUUCCACCAGCCUCUGUCUCUCUCCAGCGACCUGUUCUUCCAGUGUUUGCAGCACAGACUGGAAGUGCUUAUAGAUGAGGGAAUAGAUGCAAGGGUUGUCAUUCUACAA